UAUCAGACUUGAGAGUGGUAGAGGAAGGUGGAAUUCCGCGUGUAGUGGUGAAAUGCGUAGAUAUGCGGAGGAACACCAGUGGCGAAAGCGGCCUUCUGGCCCAUUUCUGACGCUCAGACACGAAAGCUAAGGUAGCAAACGGGAUUAGAGACCCCGGUAGUCUUAGCUGUAAACGAUGUGAACUUAGUGUCGGUGGGGUUAAAUCCAUCGGUACUGAAGCUAACGCGAUAAGUUCACCACCUGGGGACUACGGCCGCAAGGUUAAAACUCAAAGGAAUUGACGGGGCCCCGCACAAGCAGCGGAGCGUGUGGUUUAAUUCGAUGUUACACGAAGAACCUUACCAGGGCUUGACAUGCAAGUGGUAGGAAACCGAAAGGUGACCGACCCCUCGGGGAGCUUGCACAGGUGCUGCAUGGCUGUCGUCAGCUCGUGUCGUGAGAUGUUCGGUUAAGUCCGCUAACGAGCGCAACCCUCGCUGUGUGUUAUACGUGUCACACGGAACUGCCGGUCUUAAGCCGGAGGAAGGUGGGGAUGACGUCAAGUCAGCAUGGCCUUUAUACCCUGGGCUACACACACGCUACAAUGGCCAACACAAUAGGUUGCUAAGCCGCGAGGUGGAGCCAAUCCAUAAAGUUGGUCUCAGUUCAGAUUGUAGGCUGCAACUCGCCUGCAUGAAGUCGGAGUUGCUAGUAAACGCAGGUCAGCUAUACUGCGUUGAAUACGUUCCCGGGGCUUGUACACACCGCCCGU
rnacentral:rRNA from 1 species